ACAUUUUUCAAAUUUGCCGCGGAUUUCUACUGACAAGAUCUGCUUGACCAGCUAUAUGUUAUAAUUUUCUACAGCCAGAAAAUUAUAUUAGGAAAAAACUACCUUAAAUAAAAAUGUCAAAUUCGAAACUCAACUGGUAUUUUGAUUCAGAUUAAGGAAGUACUUGUUCCAAUUUAAGAAGAUGGCCUCUGUGUGCAUUUUUUUUAAUUUAGGUACAUCAUGCUUCCCAUUAUUCGUUUUUAUAAACCAUGAGACCAUGCCCUUAUCAUUUGAAAAAGAAUAUUGGACUUCCUAGGUUGAUCUUUUAUUUAUUUUACACACACCGAAAUAAUCUCUUUGGCAUGCCAUUGCAGAGUGCGUAAAAUGUACAAAGUAAUACUAUUUAGUUUAUUUAGUCUACGAUGUUUUAUAUCUAUGUUUAUAAAAUAAAAUUUACAUUGAUGUUUUACAAUAAUAUAAAGUGAAGCGGAGUAUU